GUUCUUUCUCUUGGCGUCCAUUACAAUCGAAGAGAUUACAAGGACCAACUCAAUGGACAGUUCAAUGGCUAAACUUUGUACAGCAGAGUAUGAUCAUAUUUUUCCUGAUGUUCUUCUUAUCCAACACAAAACGAUCUGUAUGAAGUUCUUGUUGCCGAUGAUAAUGACGUGACUACAUACUGUCAUCAAAGGGGAUAUCUUGGAUACGAUGACAGCAACUGAGAGAAUGUAGCAAAUGGUUUUCCCCUCAGAUGCAGGAUAAAAAGCAUUGAUGCUGUCUAUUGUAGUGAAAAGCAGUGACAGUGAUGUUGUUAUGUAACAUUCAAGUCUUGUAAACACUUGUGUUAUGUUCCAGAAACAUAUCUUGGGAGGUAGCAUAGAUAAGCAAGAAAUCUUAAGUGUUGAUGAUGAUGAUGUAGCAGUGAUGUUGUUAUGAUUCCAUGCAACUGGUUGAAAUGGCUUAGAAGAAAGCACCGUUAAUUCCUAAAAAAAAAAUAGGGUAAAUGUUUGUUUACCAAUAGAAGAGCAUCUUGAAGAUUCUGACCGUUAAGGCCUCUCCUCUCAUUCCGCAAAUCUAGAAAAGAGUACUUCCUUCUUGAAAUGCAGAAACUCUAAAAUAAAGUAGAAUAACUGUAAAAUGGAUAUUAUUUUCUGUUGCCAGUUAUCUUCAAUAAAUGUUGUUCAACACUG